rnacentral:lncRNA from 1 species
UUGGGAUAAACAAGUUUAUUUGUAAAUUAUUUUAGUCAACAUACAUAAUCGACCUAAAAACUUCAAUAGAAGGAUAAAGUUUAAAACCACUUUGAAGUUCCUCUAAGUGAUUUUUUUUCUGGAUGGUCAUAUCAGAUGGACCCUAACCCCACAGCCAUUGCAAUAUUUCCACGAAAAGUUUGAAAAUGUAUUGCCCUCCCCAUCCCCAGGCAAGUUACUCUAAGGGUUUAUAAUACAUACUUCACCCGGCAGAUCAAUUUCUAUUUCCUCUAUCCCUUGCAUCCAAUCUAUAGUAACUUAACUGAUUCAGCUUUCCUUUGGUUAAAAGGAAAAAAAACCAAAUCUAUUAAGACCAACCAUGUAUCACUAUUAAAAACUGCACUAGAUAAAUUUGCAAGUAUCAGGGAGAGGAUGCUGGUGGAAAAGUUUGUAGUUUAAAAAGAGCCCUUAUAAAUAAAACCCUAGGUUAUUGUUUGCACUAUCAGCUAGAAGGUUGCUUAACAUGUGGUAGAAUGAGGACUUAUGCAAGGUACAAUGCCAAGUAGAAUUUUACUAUUCUGAUGUAGUAGAACAAGUGAAGUUAAGCUAGGAGAAAGCCAACUGGACUUUUAAUUACAUCUCAAUGACAAGACUCCCCACAGGUGAAUGUAAAACAUUUAAUUUAAAAACGUUGACACUACAAUAUAUAAAAUAGCUAUUAUAAAUGCACAUAGUGUAUUCUAUAGCUGCCAGGUUUAUGGUUUUUUUUUUCUUUUUUUUUAUAGGAAACUGUAAGUUACACUGUGGUUAAGACUUGUAUAUUAUCACCCUCUGAAAAGCCCACAUUCUAUCACAGUGAUGUAUGGUCAGACUUAACAGCCCCAAUUGUUAAACACUUGGAUCAAGUCAUAACCAGUUUUAUUGCAAAAGGACCCUGUACACAUUUAUAUCAAUUCUAGUACCUUACGAUUUUAGCUACCCAACAAGUCAUUAACAUACAGAAACAUGCAUCAUGAGAAGCAAGAAAUUAUCACUGAGGUCUGUGAACAGUCACUUUUCGCAUUCAUCCUGAGUGAAAGAUGGAAUGACGUAAGUACAAAUGCAACAUAUUAUAAACAAUUUCUUACAAAAAAGGUCACAAAUUAAAACCAAAGUAUUUUACAGA